GCUGCACGCUCGCGGCAGGCUUCACACAUGCAAGUCGAGGGGCAGCGGGUGUCGCAAUCCAUGCCGGCUCCCGGCGCAAGGGUGGCGUCACGCGUGGAGCAAUCUGCCCGUAUUAGGGGGAUUAAGCGAUGGAAACGUCGUCUAAUACCGCAUAACACUAUUGGAGGCAUCUUCGAUGGUUGAAAGCUUCGGUGGAUACGGAUGAGCUCGCGAGACAUUAGUUAGUUGGCGGGGUAACGGCCCACCAAGACCGCGAUGUCUAGGGGAACUGAGAGGUUGGUCCCCCACACUGGAACUGAGACACGGUCCAGACUCCUACGGGAGGCAGCAGUGAGGAAUAUUGGACAAUGGUCGGAAGACUGAUCCAGCCAUGCCGCGUGCAGGAUAAGGUCCUAUGGAUUGUAAACUGCUUUUGGGUGGGAGCAAUAAGGUGCACGCGUGCACCGAUGAGAGUACCAUUCGAAUAAGCAUCGGCUAACUCCGUGCCAGCAGCCGCGGUAAUACGGAGGAUGCAAGCGUUAUCCGGAUUUAUUGGGUUUAAAGGGUGCGUAGGCGGUUUGUCAAGUCAGCGGUGAAACGCAAGGGCUUAACCCUUGACCUGCCGUUGAAACUGAUUGACUAGAAUGCGGAUGCUGUGGGAGGAAUGUGUGGUGUAGCGGUGAAAUGCAUAGAUAUCACACAGAACACCGAUUGCGAAGGCAUCUCACAAAUCCGUGAUUGACGCUGAGGCACGAAAGUGUGGGGAUCAAACA
rnacentral:rRNA from 1 species